rnacentral:tRNA from 2 species
GCGGAAGUGGCUCAGUGGUAGAGCAUCACCUUGCCAAGGUGAGGGUCGCGGGUUCAAAUCCCGUCUUCCGCUCCA